ACCCUUGUGGAGGAGGACGCCGAAGGUGGGGCUAAUGACUGGGGUGAAGUCGUAACAAGGUAGCCGUACCGGAAGGUGCGGCUGGAUCACCUCCUAACAGGGAGACAACAAAAUGUAAAUAUUAAUUUUGUCACCUUAGGUCGAUCGGUAUCUCAGAUUUUUAAUUUUUUAAGAAUUUCAGUUUCUAAGUUUUUUCUAGGUCACACCCAUCACUUUUUCCUGGGCCAUUAGCUCAGGUGGUUAGAGCGCACCCCUGAUAAGGGUGAGGUCCCUGGUUCAAGUCCAGGAUGGCCCAUAUCUCUAUGUUGGGGGUAUAGCUCAGUUGGUAGAGCGCCUGCUUUGCAAGCAGGAUGUCAGCGGUUCGAGUCCGCUUACCUCCACUGAAUACCACCUCUUCCAUAUUGUUAAAGAGGAAAAAUGUUAUGUGUUGUGCCCCUUGCUCUGAACGAAUUUAGCUUCCUAUUUUUACUAAAUAAGAUGCUGGACUCAUUGAAUUAAUAUUCAUUGUUUUCAGAGAACCUUGACAACUGCAUAGAUUAUUUUUGAAGACAAUAAGCAUCUUUAUGAUGCAGAUUUAUUAUUUGUGCGAAUGCAUUAAAUAACAAUUCUAUUAAGCUGAUGCUUCAAUUAUUGAAGUUAUUGGUCAAGCUACAAAGGGCUCACGGAGGAUACCUAGGCACACAGAGGC
rnacentral:misc_RNA from 1 species